rnacentral:rRNA from 1 species
GACGAACGCUGGCGGCGUGCUUAACACAUGCAAGUCGAACGGAAAGGCCCUGCUUUUGUGGGGUGCUCGAGUGGCGAACGGGUGAGUAACACGUGAGUAACCUGCCCUUGACUGUGGGAUAACUUCAGGAAACUGGGGCUAAUACCGGGUAGGAGCUCCUGCUGCAUGGGGGGGGUUGGAAAGUGUCGGCGGUUGUGGAUGGACUCGCGGCUUAUCAGCUUGUUGGUGGGGUAGUGGCUUACCAAGGCUUUGACGGGUAGCCGGCCUGAGAGGGUGACCGGCCACAUUGGGACUGAGAUACGCACCAGACUCCUACGGGCGGCAGCAGUGGGGAGCAUUGCACAAUGGGCGGAAGCCUGAUGCAGCAACGCCGCGUGCGGGAUGACGGCCUUCGGGUUGUAAACCGCUUUCGCCUGUGACGAAGCGUGCGUGACGGUAAUGGGUAAAGAAGCACCGGCUAACUACGUG